rnacentral:rRNA from 1 species
CGUGUGUGAAGAAGGCCUUAUGGUUGUAAAGCACUUUAAGCGAGGAGGAGGCUACUUUAGUUAAUACCUAGAGAUAGUGGACGUUACUCGCAGAAUAAGCACCGGCUAACUCUGUGCCAGCAGCCGCGGUAAUACAGAGGGUGCGAGCGUUAAUCGGAUUUACUGGGCGUAAAGCGUGCGUAGGCGGCUUAUUAAGUCGGAUGUGAAAUCCCCGAGCUUAACUUGGGAAUUGCAUUCGAUACUGGUGAGCUAGAGUAUGGGAGAGGAUGGUAGAAUUCCAGGUGUAGCGGUGAAAUGCGUAGAGAUCUGGAGGAAUACCGAUGGCGAAGGCAGCCAUCUGGCCUAAUACUGACGCUGAGGUACGAAAGCAUGGGGAGCAAACAGGAUUAGAUACCCUGGUAGUCCAUGCCGUAAACGAUGUCUACUAGCCGUUGGGGCCUUUGAGGCUUUAGUGGCGCAGCUAACGCGAUAAGUAGACCGCCUGGGGAGUACGGUCGCAAGACUAAAACUCAAAUGAAUUGACGGGGGCCCGCACAAGCGGUGGAGCAUGUGGUUUAAUUCGAUGCAACGCGAAGAACCUUACCUGGCCUUGACAUACUAGAAACUUUCCAGAGAUGGAUUGGUGCCUUCGGGAAUCUAGA